CCGCGUGAGUGAUGAAGGUUUUCGGAUCGUAAAACUCUGUUGUUAGGGAAGAACAAGUGCGAGAGUAACUGCUCGCACCUUGACGGUACCUAACCAGAAAGCCACGGCUAACUACGUGCCAGCAGCCGCGGUAAUACGUAGGUGGCAAGCGUUGUCCGGAAUUAUUGGGCGUAAAGCGCGCGCAGGCGGUUUCUUAAGUCUGAUGUGAAAGCCCCCGGCUCAACCGGGGAGGGUCAUUGGAAACUGGGAAACUUGAGUGCAGAAGAGGAGAGUGGAAUUCCACGUGUGGCGGUGAAAUGCGUAGAGAUGUGGAGGAACACCAGUGGCGAAGGCGACUCUCUGGUCUGUAACUGACGCUGAGGCGCGAAAGCGUGGGGAGCGAACAGGAUUAGAUACCCUGGUAGUCCACACCGUAAACGAUGAGUGCUAAGUGUUAGAGGGUUUCCGCCCUUUAGUGCUGCAGCUAACGCAUUAAGCACUCCGCCUGGGGAGUACGGUCGCAAGACUG
rnacentral:rRNA from 1 species